rnacentral:rRNA from 1 species
AGCGUAGACGGCGCAGCAAGUCUGAUGUGAAAGGCAGGGGCUUAACCCCUGGACUGCAUUGGAAACUGCCCGUCUUGAGUGCCGGAGAGGUAAGCGGAAUUCCUAGUGUAGCGGUGAAAUGCGUAGAUAUUAGGAGGAACACCAGUGGCGAAGGCGGCUUACUGGACGGUAACUGACGUUGAGGCUCGAAAGCGUGGGGAGCAAACA